rnacentral:rRNA from 1 species
UGGGCGUAAGAGCUCGUAGGCGGUUUGUCGCGUCUGCUGUGAAAGCCCGGGGCUCAACCCCGGGUCUGCAGUGGGUACGGGCAGACUAGAGUGCAGUAGGGGAGACUGGAAUUCCUGGUGUAGCGGUGAAAUGCGCAGAUAUCAGGAGGAACACCGAUGGCGAAGGCAGGUCUCUGGGCUGUAACUGACGCUGAGGAGCGAAAGCAUGGGGAGCGAACAGGAUUAGAUACCCUGGUAGUCCAUGCCGUAAACGUUGGGCACUAGGUGUGGGGGACAUUCCACGUUUUCCGCGCCGUAGCUAACGCAUUAAGUGCCCCGCCUGGGGAGUACGGCCGCAAGGCUAAAACUCAAAGGAAUUGACGGGGGCCCGCACAAGCGGCGGAGCAUGCGGAUUAAUUCGAUGCAACGCGAAGAACCUUACCAAGGCUUGACAUGAACCGGAAAGGCCUGGAAACAGGUCCCCCACUUGUGGCCGGUUUACAGGUGGUGCAUGGUUGUCGUCAGCUCGUGUCGUGAGAUGUUGGGUUAAGUCCCGCAACGAGCGCAACCCUCGUUCUAUGUUGCCAGCGGGUUAUGCCGGGGACUCAUAGGAGACUGCCGGGGUCAACUCGGAGGAAGGUGGGGACGACGUCAAAUCAUCAUGCCCCUUAUGUCUUGGGCUUCACGCAUGCUACAAUGGCCGGUACAAAGGGUUGCGAUACUGUGAGGUGGAGCUAAUCCCAAAAAGCCGGUCUCAGUUCGGAUUGAGGUCUGCAACUCGACCUCAUGAAGUUGGAGUCGCUAGUAAUCGCAGAUCAGCAACGCUGCGGUGAAUACGUUCCCGGGCCUUGUACACACCGCCCGUCAAGUCACGAAAGUUGGUAACACCCGAAGCCGGUGGCCUAACCCCCUUGUGGGGAGGGAGCCGUCGAAAGUGGGACCGGCGAU